CGCGCUGAUUGCCUCGAACUUGAUUUUUAUAUAUUUUAUCUGUUGGGUCGAGUGGACCGUAAUAUCAUUUUUGUUAUCCAUUACGUUACAAUUUAUUACCAGCACAGCAAUCUGAAUACCGUGUAUUUUUAUUUGUUCCUUUAUUAUCAUAAUUUUAAGCUACACACCUACAAGUAUACACACAUACACACCCGCUGCACACUAGCACCCGAGGGUUUUGCUCGUUGACCCCGUCUUCUUCCUUUGAGUCGCUAUUUACACAUAUUCACAACAGAUCGAUAGGGAAGUCGGUGGGCAGCGGUGUUGGAUAUUCAGAUUGGCGACCGGGCACGCUUAUUAUUAUUGUAUGCUCCUGGACCGUACAGUCAUCUUACUC